rnacentral:rRNA from 1 species
UAAGCAUACUGACACAUGAGAGUAGCUCUACCGGGCGUUGGUUGCCCCGGGCGUAAGCGAGCCGAAUGAGGCGAAGUGAGUAAAUCUUGUGGCGAGAAAAGGUGUGUGUAUUGGUUGGGCUGCCCGUACCGCAAACCGACACAGGUAGAUGAGGAGAAGAUCCUAAGGCCAUCGGGAGAAGGGUUGUUAAGGAACUAGGCAAAUUGACCCCGUAACUUCGGGAGAAGGGGUGCCUACGAGAGUAGGCCGCAGAGAAUCGGCCCAAGCAACUGUUUACCAAAAACACAGGUCUCUGCUAAAUCGAAAGAUGACGUAUAGGGGCUGACGCCUGCCCGGUGCUGGAAGGUUAAGAGGAGGACUUAUCGGAAACGCGAAGGCCCGAAUUGAAGCCCCAGUAAACGGCGGCCGUAACAAUAACGGUCCUAAGGUAGCGAAAUUCCUUGUCAGGUAAGUUCUGACCCGCACGAAAGGCGUAAUGAUUUGGGCACUGUCUCAACAGCCCGCCCGGCGAAAUUGUAGUACCGGUGAAGAUGCCGGUUACCCGCAACUAGACGGAAAGACCCCAUGGAGCUUUACUGCAGCUUAAUACUGAGAUUCGGUAAAUCAUGUACAGGAUAGGUGGGAGACUAAGAAGCCAGGCCGUCAGGUUUGGUGGAGCCACCCCUGGGAUACCACCCUUGGUUUGCUGGUUUUCUAACCUGCGGCCCUGAAUCGGGUCGGGGGACACUGUUAGGCGGGCAGUUUGACUGGGGCGGUCGCCUCCUAAAAUGUAACGGAGGCGCUCAAAGGUUGGCUCAGCAUGGAUGGAAACCAUGCAAUGAGUGUAAACGUAUAAGCCAGCCUGACUGCGAGACCGACGGGUCGAGCAGAGACGAAAGUCGGAGUUAGUGAUCCGGUGGUAUGUGAGUGGAAAUGCCAUCGCUCAACGGAUAAAAGCUACCCUGGGGAUAACAGGCUGAUCUCCCCCAAGCGUCCACAGCGACGGGGAGGUUUGGCACCUCGAUGUCGGCUCGUCGCAUCCUGGGGCUGAAUUAGGUCCCAAGGGUUUGGCUGUUCGCCAAUUAAAGCGGCACGCGAGCUGGGUUCAGAACGUCGUGAGACAGUUCGGUCCCUAUCUGUUGCGGGCGUAGGAGAUUUGAAGGGAGCUGACCUUAGUACGAGAGGACCGGGUUGGACGUACCUCUGGUGUACCAGUUGUUCUGCCAAGGGCAUGGCUGGGUAGCUACGUACGGACGAGAUAAACGCUGAAGGCAUCUAAGCGUGAAACUCUCCCUGAGAUAAGAUCUCCACUGAGGCUCGACGUAGACUAUGUCGUUGAUAGGUCAGAGGAGAAAGUGCAGCAAUGCAUGCAGCUGACUGAUACUAAUAAGCCGAAAGCUUGAUC